rnacentral:tRNA from 1 species
UUUACUUUGGCAGAUAAGUGUAAUGGAUUUAGGAUCCAUGAAUGUAAAUAUAUUUUACAAGUAAAA